rnacentral:lncRNA from 1 species
GGGAAAUCUCAUUCUUUAAAAUAUAUAUGUACUUACAGAUGUCCCUUUUCUCAGUUAAAGUUUUGUAAAAAAAAAAAAAAGGAAAAACAUGGAAUUUGAAACAAAUGUAAGGUGUCGCUCUACACCACUUCUAUAAAAAAAAGGGGGGGAAUUUAAUCAGAGUGACGGCUUAGAAGGAAAAACAAUCAAAAGAUUUGUUUACCUUAAAACCCAGCUUGGAGAAUCUUGUCCUCUUCAGUUUAAUAAAGGAAAAUAAAUACAUAAAGAUUAUGACAGGAAAAGAAUCAAGUGACACAUAGACGGUGUGGGAAGAAAGUGAAACAGAGAAUGUAAUAAGAGCAUCGUCUUUCUCUGAGAAAAAAGAAGUCAGUUUGUCACUAGAAUUCAAUGGAGGACACUGAGUUCACCAUCGUAGGCUACCAACUCAUCAGUUUAAUCUCCGCAAGAAAGUUGCUCUGGAGAAAAUGGGCUAGACGUGUCCAAAAGUUGCUCCGGAGAUAGUGUCACUCAAGGGGCUAGAUGUCUCCAGAAAUCACUGGAUAGAUGAUCAGCUAACAUCUUACAUACAUUUGUAGAUCCAUCGCGGCCUUCACUCGAUGGACCUCUACAACUGCAAAAAGUGAUUGAAUAAUAUUCUUAUGAGCUUCUUGUAUAUCCCUCAAAGCCUGAAACCUUCGCUUAGUGGACCUAUUACAAUAGAAGGACCAUCCACAGGGCUACUAAAUUCGAAGUAUCCCAGUGUUUGUGUAAGAACUAAAGACUGUGAUAUCAAAGAAUUAAAGACUGUUAUUACUCAAUUCUGUCUUCGGAGAAUGAUUAAGGCAAAGUGUUUUAACCAGGUAUUUAUCCUCUGCUGUUUUGAGCACUUCAUGUACAGGCACUCUCUCUCAAUAAAGUUUUCA